AGUGAACGCUGGCGGUAGGCCUAACACAUGCAAGUCGAACGGCAGCACAGUAAGAGCUUGCUCUUACGGGUGGCGAGUGGCGGACGGGUGAGGAAUACAUCGGAAUCUACUUUUUCGUGGGGGAUAACGUAGGGAAACUUACGCUAAUACAGCAUACGACCUUCGGGUGAAAGCAGGGGAUCUUCGGACCUUGCGCGAUUGAAUGAGCCGAUGUCGGAUUAGCUAGUUGGCGGGGUAAAGGCCCACCAAGGCGACGAUACGUAGCUGGUCUGAGAGGAUGAUCAGCCACACUGGAAGUUGAACACGGUCCUGGCUCCUGCGGUAGGCCGCAGUGGGGAAUGGUGGACAGUGGGCGCAAGCCUUAUCCAGCCGUACCGCGUUGGUGAAGAAGGCCUUCGGGUUGUAAAGCCCUUUUGUUGGGAGAGAAAAGCAGCAGGUUAAUACCCCGCUGUUCUGGCGGUACCCAAUGAAUAAGCACCGGCUAACUACGUG
rnacentral:rRNA from 1 species